UCCAUUUUUGCGUUGGCUAAUUUUGAGAUGAUUUUAACACAUCAUCUUCUUUUCAGAGUCAGAAACAUGACACAGGUUCCCCACAACCACCAAAUCCAUGAUAAAGAAGAAAUCCACAAAGGAUGCACCGUCAUAGGUUGCGCCGGAACAGGAAGAGACCUUAGCUGAGGUCAAGAGUUCAAAUGAUAGUGAAAAGACUAAGAUCUUUUUGAAUCCUAAACUCAAGCCUUCUCCUAAGCCAUGUGUCAGAAAGACGAAGGGCACUUGUCAAAAGACAAAUCAACCCAAGGAACCACACACUUCAACUAUUGAUUCUAUUGACAAGAAAGGUACAACCACCGUCAAAAGAGACCGUAACGGACAAGCCAAAAGUUAUUGAAAGUUUGACUCCCACUUUCUCUCUCAUUCAUUGGUCGGCGUUCAUUGACUUUAGCCUCGCCUCUGUUCAUCCAGAGAUCAAUCAAGCUGGUGAAGAUGCAGACACUUCCUAAGAACCAAUUUAUGAAAUGGAGUUCGAUGUCACCAAAUUAUCUCCAUAACGGAUUGAAGAAUUCAACGACAUCUAGAGAUCGAUCAAGUUGGUGAAUACAAGCAACACUAUAUGACCUAAACAUCAUUUAUUAAAAUCAAUCAACACAUACAUGGUUUUCUGCUAAGAAUUACAUAGUUUUGAGUUCUCCGUCGCACCUGAGGACACUUAGGAGCGAGAUUCAACGUCUCGUCAAUCACUAUAAUAAAAAAUCCAAAAACACAUUUGUUUUGCUAAGAACUACGUAGCUUUGAAUUCCCCAUCACACAUGUGAUACAUAGGAGCAAGACUCAGAAUCUUGUUAAGCAUCCUAAUAAAAAAACUUAUUUUUUAGCAAUUUAUUUUUCUUUUUAACUUUUAAAAAUAACCAGAAGAAAACAAAUAAGUGUAAGCUAACACUCUAUUUACAAAACUAACUAAAGGCUUAUCGUUGAAUACAACGAAUGUGAGGGGGUGCUAAUACCUUCCCCUCGCAUAACCGACUCC